rnacentral:rRNA from 1 species
AGCAGCCGCGGUAAUUCCAGCUCCAAUAGCGUAUAUUAAAGUUGUUGCAGUUAAAAAGCUCGUAGUUGAAUUUCGGGAUCAAUAUAUCGGUCGUGCCAUCGGUACGUACUGGUAUGAUUGGUUUCUCCUUUCUGACGAACCAUGAUGUCAUUAAUUUGGUGUUAUGGGAAGUUAGGACUGUUACUUUGAAAAAAUUAGAGUGUUUAAAGCAGGCGUAUAUUAAAGUUGUUGCCGUUAAAAAGCUCGUAGUUGAACUUUAGGCCCGGUUGGACGGUCGACUCUAGGGUUUGUACUGUCCUGACUGGGUCUUACCUUCUGGUGAGCUGUCGUGUUGUUUAUUCAGUGCGGCAGGGAACCAGGACUUUUACUUUGAAAAAAU